CCUACGGGAGGCAGCAGUGGGGAAUAUUGCACAAUGGGGGAAACCCUGAUGCAGCGACGCCGCGUGAGUGAAGAAGGAAUUCGUUAUGUAAAGUUCUAUCGGCAGGGAAGAAAAUGACGGUAUCUGAGGAAGAAGCACCGGCUAACUCCGUGCCAGCAGCCGCGGUAAUACGGAGGGGGCAAGCGUUACUCGGAUUUACUGGGUGUAAAGGGCGCGUAGACGGGAGUGCAAGUCUGGAGUGAAAGGCGGGGGCUUAACCCCCGGACUGCACUGGAAACUGUUAGGCUAGAGUGCAGGAGAGGUAAGUGGAAUUCCUAGUGUAGCGGUGAAAUGCGUAGAGAUUAGGAGGAAUACCAGUGGCGAAGGCGGCUUACUGGAAUGUAACUGACGUUGAGGCGCGAAAGCGUGGGGAGCAAACAGGAUUAGAUACCCCUGUAGUC
rnacentral:rRNA from 1 species